AUGAGGGUCAGCCUAUACGCCAAUGAUGCGGUCAUUUUUGCAAACCCAGAGAAGAAUGAAGUGGACACACUGCUAUUCCUGCUGAACUACUUCGGGAAGGCCACAGGGAAAAAGCUCAACCAGGCAAAAUCCUCAGUCAUCCCAAUAAACUACGUUGGGUUGCCGUUGUCAGUGGUGCUGCAAAGUUUUGGUGGCAAGUUAGAUUUUCCGACAACUUAUCUCGGGUUGCUGGUCUCUCCAAGAAAAUUGUGCCUGGUGCACCUCUAGUUCAUCAUCGAUCGGGUGCGAUCACGACUGGCGGGAUGGAAAGGCAAGCUCAUGACCAUGGCCAGCAGGCGGGUGCUCGUGCGCGCAGUCCUCACUGCCCUGCCCAUCUUCGCUCUGUCAGUCCUGAAGGUGCCCAAGAAGAUCCUCAAGGAGAUGGACAAAACGCGCCGGCAAUUCCUUUGGGCCCAAGACAAGAACAUGACUGGCGCCAAAUGUAAAAUGGCCUAG
rnacentral:rRNA from 1 species